rnacentral:rRNA from 1 species
GAUGAACGCUGGCGGCGUGCCUAAUACAUGCAAGUCGAGCGAAUGGAUUAAGAGCUUGCCCUUAUGAAGUUAGCGGCGGACGGGUGAGUAACACGUGAGUAACCUGCCCAUAAGACUGGGAUAACUCCGGGAAACCGGGGCUAAUACCGGAUAACAUUUUGAACCGCAUGGUUCGAAAUUGAAAGGCGACUUCGGCUGUCACUUAUGGAUGGACCCGCGUCGCAUUAGCUAGUUGGUGAGGUAACGGCUCACCAAGGCAACGAUGCGUAGCCGACCUGAGAGGGUGAUCGGCCACACUGGGACUGAGACACGGCCCAGACUCCUACGGGAGGCAGCAGUAGGGAAUCUUCCGCAAUGGACGAAAGUCUGACGGAGCAACGCCGCGUGAGUGAUGAAGGCUUUCGGGUCGUAAAACUCUGUUGUUAGGGAAGAACAAGUGCUAGUUGAAUAAGCUGGCACCUUGGCGGUACCUAACCAGAAAGCCACGGCUAACUACGUGCCAGCCGCCGCGGUAA